CUGCGCUCUCCUUCGCCUGCGGGCCGGCACUGCUCACCUCUCGUCCAGGGACAUGACGGGCACGCCAGGCGCCGCUGCCACCCGGGAUGGCGAGGCCCCCGAGCGCUCCCCGCCCUGCAGUCCGAGCUACGACCUCACGGGCAAGAACAAGGUGGUGAUUGUGGAUGGCGUGAGAGUGAAGCUGCAGAUCUGGGACACCGCUGGGCAGGAACGGUUCCGAAGCGUCACCCAUGCUUAUUACAGAGAUGCUCAGGCCUUGCUUCUGCUGUAUGACAUCACCAACAAAUCUUCUUUCGACAACAUCAGGGCCUGGCUCACUGAGAUUCAUGAGUAUGCCCAGAGGGACGUGGUGAUCAUGCUGCUAGGCAACAAGGUGAGUGGCUCCGGGGCAGGGUCAGCCCAGCCCUGCACUUCCUCAGCCCUAGCCAGCCCCAUAACCACCCAAGAACAGUUAUCUAGGCAUCCUUCCUGAAAAGGACUCUGCAGCCUCCAGCUCAGGGGUCAGACAUAUCUGGAGGCUUCUGCCCAUCCCAUCUGCCCCUUCCAGGGAAAGUCCAAG
rnacentral:sRNA from 1 species